rnacentral:rRNA from 1 species
CCUACGGGCGGCAGCAGUGGGGAAUAUUGCGCAAUGGGCGCAAGCCUGAUGCAGCCAUGCCGCGUGUGUGAAGAAGGCCUUCGGGUUGUAAAGCACUUUCAGCGGGGAGGAAGGCGGUGAGGUUAAUAACCUCAUCGAUUGACGUUACCCGCAGAAGAAGCACCGGCUAACUCCGUGCCAGCAGCCGCGGUAAUACGGAGGGUGCAAGCGUUAAUCGGAAUUACUGGGCGUAAAGCGCACGCAGGCGGUCUGUCAAGUCGGAUGUGAAAUCCCCGGGCUCAACCUGGGAACUGCAUUCGAAACUGGCAGGCUAGAGUCUUGUAGAGGGGGGUAGAAUUCCAGGUGUAGCGGUGAAAUGCGUAGAGAUCUGGAGGAAUACCGGUGGCGAAGGCGGCCCCCUGGACAAAGACUGACGCUCAGGUGCGAAAGCGUGGGGAGCAAACAGGAUUAGAUACCCUUGUAGUC